GAUGAAGAACGCAGCGAAAUGCGAUACGUAAUGUGAAUUGCAAAUUCAGUGAAUCAUCGAGUCUUUGAACGCACAUUGCGCCCCCUGGUAUUCCGGGGGGCAUGCCUGUCCGAGCGUCAUUGCUGCCCUCAAGCACGGCUUGUGUGUUGGGCCCCGUCCUCCGAUCCCGGGGGACGGGCCCGAAAGGCAGCGGGGGCACCGCGUCCGGUCCUCGAGCGUAUGGGGCUUUGUCACCCGCUCUGUAGGCCCGGCCGGCGCUUGCCGAUCAACCCAAAUUUUUAUCCAGGUUGACCUCGGAUCAGGUAGGGAUACCCGCUGAACUUAAGCAUAACAAUAAGCGGGGGA
rnacentral:misc_RNA from 1 species